UACGUAGGGUGCGAGCGUUAAUCGGAAUUACUGGGCGUAAAGCGUGCGCAGGCGGUUUUGUAAGUCUGUCGUGAAAGCCCCGGGCUCAACCUGGGAAUGGCGAUGGAGACUGCAAGGCUUGAAUCUGGCAGAGGGGGGUAGAAUUCCACGUGUAGCAGUGAAAUGCGUAGAGAUGUGGAGGAACACCGAUGGCGAAGGCAGCCCCUGGGUCAAGAUUGACGCUCAUGCACGAAAGCGUGGGGAGCAAACAGG
rnacentral:rRNA from 1 species